rnacentral:rRNA from 1 species
GACGAACGCUGGCGGCGUGCUUAACACAUGCAAGUCGAACGGAAAGGCCCUGCUUUUGUGGGGUGCUCGAGUGGCGAACGGGUGAGUAACACGUGAGUAACCUGCCCUUGACUUUGGGAUAACUUCAGGAAACUGGGGCUAAUACCGGAUAGGAGCUCCUGCUGCCUGGUGGGGGUUGGAAAGUUUCGGCGGUUGGGGAUGGACUCGCGGCUUAUCAGCUUGUUGGUGGGGUAGUGGCUUACCAAGGCUUUGACGGGUAGCCGGCCUGAGAGGGUGACCGGCCACAUUGGGACUGAGAUACGGCCCAGACUCCUACGGGAGGCAGCGGUGGGGAAUAUUGCACAAUGGGCGGAAGCCUGAUGCAGCAACGCCGCGUGCGGGAUGACGGCCUUCGGGUUGUAAACCGCUUUCGCCUGUGACGAAGCGUGAGUGACGGUAAUGGGUAAAGAAGCACCGGCUAACUACGUG